ACGCUCGACACCUACGGGAGGCAGCAGGUGGGGAAUAUUGCACAAUGGGGGAAACCCUGAUGCAGCGACGCCGCGUGAGCGAAGUAAGUAUUUCGGUAUGUUAAAGCUCUAUCAGCAGGGAAGAAACUGACGGUACCUGACUAAGAAGCACCGGCUAAAUACGUGCAAGCAGCCGCGGUAAUCUGGAGCGGGCUGGCAAGGC
rnacentral:rRNA from 1 species